rnacentral:misc_RNA from 1 species
GAUGAAGAACGUAGUGAAAUGCGAUAAGUAGUGUGAAUUGCAGAAUUCAGUGAAUCAUCGAAUCUUUGAACGCUCAUUGCGCCCCAUGGUAUUCCGUGGGGCAUGCCUGUUCGAGCGUCAUUUACCCCCUCAAGCUCCGCUUGGUGUUGGGCGUCUGUCCCGCUUCGCGCGCGGACUCGCCCCAAAGGUAUUGGCAGCGGUCGUGCCAGCUUCUCGCGCAGCACAUUGCGCUUCUCGAGGCACCGGUGGGCCCGCGUCCAUCAAGCUCACCCCCCCAGUUUGACCUCGGAUCAGGUAGGGAUACCCGCUGAACUUAAGCAUAUCAAUAAGCGGAGGA